UACAGAGGUCUCAAGCGUUGUUCGGAUUCAUUGGGCGUAAAGGGUGCGUAGGUGGCGUCGUAAGUCGGGUGUGAAAUUUCGGAGCUUAACUCCGAAACUGCAUUCGAUACUGCGGUGCUUGAGGACUGGAGAGGAGACUGGAAUUUACGGUGUAGCAGUGAAAUGCGGUAGAGAUCGUAAGGAAGACCAGUGGCGAAGGCGGGUCGUCUGGACGAGUUC
rnacentral:rRNA from 1 species